rnacentral:rRNA from 1 species
CAAGUCGAACGCACCUUCGGGUGAGUGGCGAACGGGUGAGUAAAGCAUGGGAAUCCUACCCAGUGGUGGGGAAUAACUGAUGGAAGCAUCAGCUAAUACCGCAUAAUCCAUAUUGGCAAAGCUUUUGCGCCAUUGGAUGGGCCCAUGUACGAUUAGAUUGUUGGUGAGGUAAUGGCUCACCAAGUCUACGAUCGUUAGCUGGUCUGAGAGGAUGAUCAGCCACACUGGAACUGAGACACGGUCCAGACUCC